CAUCGAACCCUAUGUAGGUUGCCUACGUAUCAUGUCCCUCAUGACUCAGAUCAAGCAUAGUUCUGGAAAUGUAAUGGACAAAAUAAACUAGAAAUAAAAAUCUUUUUGGAUUUUUUAUUUAUAACUUUUUUUAGUUUUCAAAUACAUAAUAGGAAGUAUGAUAACAAAAGAUUCGACAAACCCAACUAAAUUAUGACAAACUGACACCAGAUAAAAGACUCAAUACUAUUGGAAAAUACUAGAAAGUAAAAGAUAACAUGAAUGACAGACUCAAAACAUAAAAAGUCGCCUCAAACAAGCUCCUUAAUGCGACGGUCCUGACUGGAAUGAUCUUGGGGUAUCUAUCAUGCUCGAGCUUUGGUAAAUGAAUCCAUACCUGAAUGAAAAAAAUAAUACCAAAUAUAUUAGUGACUCGAGACACUAUGUGAGACCACAACACCUGCUAUUGGACACAUGCAAGACAUAAUUGGGCUAUUUUUGUAAAAUAACCUACAUGGCCAAGGGUGGCUAUUAGUGCAAACUCAACAAAGGUGACCUCAAAGACAUGGAAGCCUCACUAAGGCUUAUAUGGCUUCAAACUCCCAAUAAUUAUGGCCCUAAUAGUUACUUCGCAAAAAUGACCUAUUUUGCAAAAAUGGCCGAUAAGGCCAAAUGCGGCUAGAGAUGCAAAUUUAACAAGGAUGGGUCUUAAAGUAAUAUUACACCUAGUUGUGGACUCAAGAUUCUAAGACAUGGGUCACUGAACCAUUUCCGCAAAAAUGACCCCAUUUUGUAAGCAUGGUCUAUGUGGCCAAAAAGUGGCUAGACAUGCAAACUCAAUAGGAAUGGAUCUUAAAAUUGAGAGGACGCCUUGUUGUGGACUUAGGACUCUAAGACAUGGGAUAACAAGUCACUUUGAUAAAAUAACCCUAUUUUGCAAAAUAACUAAUUUGGCCAAAUGUGGCUAGACAUGCAAGAAUUGGCUACAACCCCAAAAGCCAAGAACCUAAGACUCACUAGGAAGACCGGACCCUAUGUGGGUUGCCUACGUAUCCCGCCCCGAAAUAUGAGAAUCAGGUAUGCGUAGUUCGGAAAGAUUGGAUAUGGAGAGAAUUUAAAAAAAACGCAGAUUUGAAGAAAACAUAUUUUUUUGUCUUUUUUUUUUUUAAAUGAUGAAACAUGUAAAAUCUUUUGGAUUUUCUUUUUCUCUUUUUUUUUUUAAUUUUUUUUUUGGAAAAUGAUGGGAAAGUGCAAAAUCUUUUUGGAUUUUUUAUUUUCAUUUUUUUUGGUCUUUUCUUGAAAAAGUUGUGAAAGAAAAAUAUAACUGGCUCUACUUUCUUCAUCUUUAUACUUCACCCUCUUUUCUUUCUCAUUUACCCUCAACUAUUAUUGGUCCGUCAAAUGAACCCUUUACCCUUAAAGAAUGCAGCAUGUAGCACAUAGGGAUGAUUAAAUUUCUUUUAGAGACAUGGGCCCGUUUUGACAUAAUUUAGAUAGGCCUCAUAUAAAGGAACACAGUGCCUAGGACUGAGCCCUGCUAAGUGUAAAUGACAUGAUGCAAAUAAGCAUGACCUAAAGGCUGACCUAUGUUUGGGGUUAACUAGACAAGACAAUCUGGGGCGACACGUGGUCGAUAGCGGCUGCUCUAGCUGUCCGCCCACUCCACGCUCCUACGCCACCCCUAAAGACACAGGUGACUCACAAAAAGGCUGUGUACGCUCAAACGUUCUCUGGAAGACUUAUUGCUGAAAGAAGACCCAUCGUUAUGCAAAUGAUGACAGUUAUAAAGCGGUAACCACAUAAGGAAAAGCGAUAAACAAAUAAACAACAAAACGGAAAAUGAGACAAACAAACCAACUAAACAAAGUAAAUAAAGAAAACAAACACCUCAACCGAAUAUUCUAAAAGCCAACAAGAUCAAGUAUCAGCUCGAACCUACAACUCCCAAGCAGAGUCGCCAAAGCUGUCACACCCUUUUUUUUUACCUCAAUAACCCUUUUUAAAAAUGCAUAAAUGUGUUUUUUGAAGCUCAAAAGGGUUUUCCAAUUAGAAAGUGACAAAAAUUUAUUUUCAAAAGGAUUUUUCAGAGUCACCACCUGACAUUUGGUUUUGGUGUGCCAGGUCACCUGCUUUUUUUUAAUAACAAAUUCCCUUCAAAACACAUUCGACUCGUAAACUAGUUUGCACCAAAGAUUCAAGGUAAGGGGGUUCAUUUGAUUCGGGGAGAAGGUGCUAGGCAUUUCCCGAGUCCCGUAACUAUUACGGUUGCGUAUAUGAUCAAGUUGGCCUUUAACAUAUUCAAUUUGAGGUAAAAAAAUAACACAUAAAAGAAAAUAAACACAAAAGAGGCUCGAGGUCGUCCCCACCUAAUAAAAGAAAAUAUAUAAAGAAAAGUAAAAUCCUAUCCUAAAUACUAAUGUAUACUAUACUUUUUCAUGAGGUUCGUCACAACCUCCAAAUACAUGAUACUACGGAGCAUACCCCGGAUAAAAAUAUAUACAAUGUCUACGGGGCAUUCCCCUGAAUAUAAACUAAAGGGAAUGACCUAUUACCUCGGCAAAAUAAAAUAAGCGGCCUGCAGUUUGUCUAUCCAAGUGUGAUCGACCUAAACAUGCUACUAGUGGUCAAUAAAAACUAGCAAUAACGAAACAGAAAUAUUAUCACGUCACAUUAACCCAACUCUAUUUCCUUUCAAUUUCAAAUCCCACAGCUCCUUUUAUUCAACUUAACUCAUUAGUUCACUCUUUCAUUUUAUUGAUUCAUGAAACAAUACAAAUUAAAUCACAUUAAUUAAGAUAAGCCCCAAAUUUUCGAUAAUGGCACAUACAUAGAACUUCAUAUUACUUCAAAAAGAUAACAUCAUCAGAAACAUAUCAACAAAAAAAUCACAUAAUAAAAUUAAGGGAUCCAAGGGAAGAAAAAAAGUAUUGGACCUUUAAACUCAAUUGUUUGGUAGCACAAGACUGAAAAGCGAGCGACGAAAGCUAGACUGAACCUUAACUGAACCAGGAACACUAUUGACCAAGAGCCGCAAAGGGGACACCUCAAAAAAUCGAAAAUCGAACUUGACUCAGAUUCGGACAGCAAUAACUUUGAAAUCGUUGAACUCUUGAUCCGAAAUGGUGUUGUAAAUUGGUUUUGUGACUGGUUUUGAUAUGUCCAUGGAUGGCAAAGCUUAGAGGUUCAUGGUGCUUAAAGAAAACAAUUGAGUCACUGGGCAGCAGAAGAUGAUCGGGGUCGUGGAGGCGGCUCGAGAUGGGAGGAGUUGGUCGGCGGCUCUUUUACCAGCGAGUUUUUGGCGGGGGAAGGAAGACUGGUGGCGGCUCUAGGUCAUGGGGGGAUUAGGGAAUGUGCUGAAGAAGAAGAAGGGUUUGAAAGGUCUCCUGAAAAAGAAGAUAAGGUCACCUUUUUUUUUUUUUAAGGAAAUUAGGUUUUUGGUGGGUUUAAAGGGUAUUGAGCUUUGAUUUAGAAAAUUGUGGUCCAUGUCUUGUUGGGUCUUAAUUUUGAACUAAAAAGACUAAAAAAAUAUAAUGUAUUUAUAAAAAUAUAAAACUUACUCUUAAU
rnacentral:lncRNA from 1 species